CAUGGGUCGUACGCGUAGGAACUGUCCUGUGUUUGGCUGUGGAAGUACAAAUCUUGCUAGGUUACCAAACCAUCUUGAUCAAGUACAUGGUAUGGACAUGGAGGAACGCAAGAAAUGGCUAAGGUGGAGUAAGAUAGGUAUUUGUGUACCUCGACAGAGUGAGGAACCAAAGGAAUUCAACAUGGAGGAAAGUCUGGAAAAUUUAUUUAAGC
rnacentral:lncRNA from 1 species